rnacentral:rRNA from 1 species
AUGAACGCUGGCGGCGUGCCUAAUACAUGCAAGUCGAGCGAACAGACGAGGAGCUUGCUCCUCUGACGUUAGCGGCGGACGGGUGAGUAACACGUGGAUAACCUACCUAUAAGACUGGGAUAACUUCGGGAAACCGGAGCUAAUACCGGAUAAUAUAUUGAACCGCAUGGUUCAAUAGUGAAAGACGGUUUUGCUGUCACUUAUAGAUGGAUCCGCGCCGCAUUAGCUAGUUGGUAAGGUAACGGCUUACCAAGGCAACGAUGCGUAGCCGACCUGAGAGGGUGAUCGGCCACACUGGAACUGAGACGCGGUCCAGACUCCUACGGGAGGCAACAGUAGGGAAUCUUCCGCAAUGGGCGAAAGCCUGACGGAGCAACGCCGCGUGAGUGAUGAAGGUCUUCGGAUCGUAAAACUCUGUUAUUAGGGAAGAACAAAUGUGUAAGUAACUAUGCACGUCUUGACGGUACCUAAUCAGAAAGCCACGGCUAACUACGU